AAGAAUGCAAAACGGGAUGAAGAAUGGGCGUUCCUGCUUCUGGAGACGGCGAAGAUGCUUGCAGCGCGGUGGUGCCUCUCGUCUGCGGAUGUCUGCAGGGAUGAAGGCAAUGGCAGGGCCAAUACUCGUUUCGGUGUUUUUUUUUUUUGCUCUGUGUUUCUGAGUUUUUCUCCUCUGUUUUCUCCCCCCUUGCCACUGUUAUGCUCUCCCUUUUAUAGAGAUGGAGUCGCUUGCCCAAAAACCAGUCCUGCCUUUGCAGGACCGUCGGAUUUGCUGCAGAUUUUCAGCUCCCCUGUUGAAUCGGGAUGAAGAAGACAAGCACGACUGUUCCACCCAGCAACGGUGCCGUUUCGGCAGAAAUGGAUAUUUUCAUUUUGACCCCUGAUCUUUGGAAAUUUAACAAAUGGAUCUCAAGUAAUUAAAAAUUUCUUUUAAUUUUGCCA